rnacentral:rRNA from 1 species
UUAUUCCUACGGGGCGCUGCAGUGGGGAAUAUUGCACAAUGGGGGAAACCCUGAUGCAGCGACGCCGCGUGAGCGAUGAAGUAUUUCGGUAUGUAAAGCUCUAUCAGCAGGGAAGAAAAUGACGGUACCUGACUAAGAAGCCCCGGCUAACUACGUGCCAGCAGCCGCGGUAAUACGUAGGGGGCAAGCGUCAUCCGGCUUUACUGGGUGUAAAGGGAGCGUAGACGGUCCUGCAAGCCAGAUGU